GGUUAAGUCCCGCAACGAGCGCAACCCUUGUCACUAGUUGCCAUCAUUUAGUUGGGGCACUCUAGUGAGGACUGCCGGUGACAAACCGGAGGAAGGUGGGGAUGACGUCAAGUCCUCAUGGCCCUUAUGGUAGGGCUUCACACGUCAUACAAUGGUCGGUACAGAGGGUUGCCAAGCCGCGAGGUGGAGCCAAUCCCUUAAAGCCGAUCGUAGUCCGGAUCGUAGUCUGCAACUCGACUACGUGAAGUCGGAAUCGCUAGUAAUCGCAGAUCAGCAUGCUGCGGUGAAUACGUUCCCGGGUCCUU
rnacentral:rRNA from 1 species